UUCCCACUGAAAAUCACCGGCGUCCUAAAGAAUAUUUCAAAAGUCGGACAUGCUUCGCGCCGCUGUUGUAAGCGGGAAAUCGGUAUGAAUAGUAUAAUUUAUUUAAUAUACGAGAGCCACGGUAAAACAUUGAAAUCGAAAAGCAAUUCUGAGUGUAACUCGGUAAACUGCCGAUAAGAUAUAGCUCUGUUAUUUUCCAUUGCGAUAGUAGAUUAUAACCGGCAGAAAUC